rnacentral:lncRNA from 1 species
UCGACGACGCCGUCAUAACUGCGUCCUGGUCCACGCGCCGUCCUCCGCCGGGCUGCAGAAGCAGAGCGCGCAGCCAGAGAGCGAGGAAGGGUUGUGUCUGCCUCUGCGUCUGCCGCUCAACAGGGAAGAACCCCAUUGUCCACUCUUCGGACGACGACGAGUAGAAUAAGCACCUGCAAUUCACUCUAUCUAUCCAUGCAUUCUCGUUUCAGUUUAGCCUGUUGACUACUAUUCUGUCAGCUUUCAGUUAGUACUCUGUCAGUUUAGCCUGUUUGUAUCAAUGUUCAGUUAGCGUUUGUAACAAUGUAUCCAUGUUUGUAUCCAUUUGAAUUUCUAUCCAUGUUUAUAGUCAAAGAACUAUGCUGUGAUGAACAAUGUCUGAACUUUAUCGCACUGCAAAAUCCCUGAUCUUUUCAAUUAAGUUCACUUGACAGAUGCAGUACAAAUGACAACCAUGCCAACAUCAACUACAUCAGAACAAAACAGAAGAAAUACUACAGAGCUCUAUCUCGGCAAGACUAAUAUUCCAUCAAAUGUUAUGAUCCUAUCCCAAAACAGAAGCCUUUCCUUGUGGAUCCUUCCAUUUGCCCUCUUUUCAAAUUAGGAAGCACGUCAUCCUACGAAAACUCAAAUCCUAAAUUGUCAAUCAUAGUACAUCCCAACAGCAAAGGGAAUUCGUGACGACGAAGAACUAAACCUGAGAUGCAGAUGGAGCCCCAAAGUUGACGACGGACGUCUCCUUCCUGCUGCCGCUCCCUCCGCAGCCCAGACUCGCCGUCGCCGUCGACCUAGCUCUCAUGCUUUUGGCAUUGGGCGAGACAGAGGGGAACAAGAGGGAGAGAGGCUAGGGAUUUGGCUGCAGCUCGAAUGGGGAACGAGAGAGAGGGGCUACAGAUUUUUCCCGUGCAACCGAGAUGUGGAGUGC